CCUGGUGAAGAUGGUGUUUUCCC
rnacentral:siRNA from 1 species